rnacentral:rRNA from 1 species
UACGGGGGGGGCAAGCGUUGUUCGGAGUUACUGGGCGUAAAGCGCGUGUAGGCGGCCAUGCAAGUCGGAUGUGAAAGCCAUCGGCUCAACCGGGGAAGUGCACUCGAAACUGCAAGGCUAGAGUCUCGGAGAGGAUCGUGGAAUUCUCGGUGUAGAGGUGAAAUUCGUAGAUAUCGAGAGGAACACCGGUGGCGAAGGCGGCGAUCUGGACGAUGACUGACGCUGAGACGCGAAAGCGUGGGGAGCAAACAGG